rnacentral:misc_RNA from 1 species
GCUGGUGGCAAAAAGCAACUACAUAAGGAGAUUGAUUCUUGUCAGGUCUGGUUCUGUUGAUUCCAUUAUCAAUUUCCUUAUGUAGUUGCUUUUUGCCACCAGCAUGAACUUUUGGAGAGCAAAACUGGCUUCUCCAACUUCAACCACAACAUCUGUUGGAAUUUCUUGAGAAAAAAACCCUGAAAUUAAAGGUUUUGUAAAGACAGAUCAAUAAUUAAUCUGAG